rnacentral:rRNA from 1 species
GGCAACCCUAUCCCAGCAAUGCCGCGAAGAUGAAGAAGGCCUUCGGGUUGUAAAGCUCUUUUGUCAGGGAAGAAACAACAUCUCUAACACAGUGUGCGAAUGACGGUACCUGAAGAAUAAGCACCGGCUAACUACGUGCCAGCAGCCGCGGUAAUACGUAGGGUGCGAGCGUUAAUCGGAAUUACUGGGCGUAAAGCGUGCGCAGGCGGUUAUACAAGACAGGCGUGAAAUCCCCGGGCUUAACCUGGGAACGGCGUCUGUGACUGUAUAGCUAGAGUGUGUCAGAGGGGGGUGGAAUUCCACGUGUAGCAGUGAAAUGCGUAGAUAUGUGGAGGAACACCAAUGGCGAAGGCAGCCCCCUGGGAUAACACUGACGCUCAUGCACGAAAGCGUGGGGAGCAAACAGGAUUAGAUACCCUGGUAGUCCACGCCCUAAACUAUGAAAUCUAGUGUUG